AUUGAACGCUGGCGGCAUGCCUUACACAUGCAAGUCGAACGGCAGCACGGGUGCUUGCACCUGGUGGCGAGUGGCGAACGGGUGAGUAAUACAUCGGAACAUGUCCUGUAGUGGGGGAUAGCCCGGCGAAAGCCGGAUUAAUACCGCAUACGAUCUACGGAGGACAGCGGGGGACCUUCGGGCCUCGCGCUAUAGGGUUGGCCGAUGGCUGAUUGGCUAGUUGGUGGGGUAAAGGCCUACCAAGGCGACGAUCAGUGGCUGGUCUGAGAGGACGACCAGCCACACUGGGACUGGGACACGGCCCAGACUCCUACGGGAGGCAGAAGUGGGGAAUUUUGGACAAUGGGCGAAAGCCUGAUCCAGCAAUGCCGCGUGUGUGAAGAAGGCCUUCGGGUUGUAAAGCACUUUUGUCCGGAAAGAAAGCCUUGGCCCUAAUACGGUCGGGGGAUGACGGUACCGGAAGAAUAAGCACCGGCUAACUACGUG
rnacentral:rRNA from 1 species